UCCUACGGGAGGCAGCAAUGGGGAAUAUUGGACAAUGGGCGCAAGCCUGAUCCAGCCAUGCAGCGGGAGUGAUGAAGGCCCUAGGGUUGUAAAGCUCUUUCACCGGUGAAGAUAAUGACGGUAACCGGAGAAGAAGCCCCGGCUAAUUUCGUGCCAGCAGCCGCGGUAAUACGAGGGGGGCUAGCGUUGUUCGGAUUUACUGGGUGUAAAGCGCACGUAGGCGGAUUGAUCAGUCAGGGGUGAAAUCCCAGAGCUCAACUCUGGAACUGCCUUUGAUACUGUCGAUCUGGAGUAUGGAAGAGGUGAGUGGAAUUCCGAGUGUAGAGGUGAAAUUC
rnacentral:rRNA from 1 species